UACGUAGGGUGCGAGCGUUAAUCGGAAUUACUGGGCGUAAAGCGUGCGCAGGCGGUCUUUUAAGUCAGAUGUGAAAUCCCCGGGCUUAACCUGGGAACUGCGUUUGAAACUGGAAGGCUUGAGUGUGGCAGAGGGGGGUGGAAUUCCACGUGUAGCAGUGAAAUGCGUAGAUAUGUGGAGGAACACCGAUGGCGAAGGCAGCCCCCUGGGCUAACACUGACGCUCAUGCACGAAAGCGUGGGGAGCAAACAGG
rnacentral:rRNA from 1 species